AGAGUUUGAUCCUGGCUCAGGAUGAACGCUGGCGGCGUGCCUAAUACAUGCAAGUCGAACGAGAUGCUUUUGUAGCAAUACGAGAGUAUUCUAGUGGCGAACGGGUGAGUAACGCGUUGGUGACCUACCCCAAAGUGUGGGAUAACAGUCCGAAAGGAUUGCUAAUACCGCACGUGGUCUUCGGAUUUAGAAACUGAUGACUAAAGGAGCAAUUCGCUUUGGGAGGGACCUGCGUCCCAUCAGCUAGUUGGUGAGGUAAUGGCUCACCAAGGCGACGACGGGUAGGGGACCUGAGAGGGUGGCCCCCCACAAUGGAACUGAAACACGGUCCAUACACCUACGGGUGGCAGCAGUAGGGAAUAUUGCUCAAUGGGCGAAAGCCUGAAGCAGCAACGCCGCGUGUGCGAUGAAGGCCUUCGGGUCGUAAAGCACUUUUCUGAGAGAUGAGAAAGGACAGUAUCUCAGGAAUAAGUCUCGGCUAACUACGUGCCAGCAGCCGCGGUAAUUC
rnacentral:rRNA from 1 species